rnacentral:rRNA from 1 species
UUACGGCCACAACACGUUGAAACACCCGUUCUCGUACGAUCACCGAAGUUAAGCAACGUCGAGCCUGGUCAGUACCUAGAUUGGUGACUGCUUG